rnacentral:lncRNA from 1 species
CGUCGUUAUUCUCAAGGUUGCUUCUAUGGAUAACAUAUAGAUAUCCAUUGCCUAGGCCUACUACUCAGCCAUUUAUGAAAUGACUACAGAAGAGGUAUCAUCACUGAUGACCAAGCUGAUUGGCUCUAGUGCAAGUGGGAGAUUGUUGGAAAUGUGCCCUAAAUCCAAUCAUAUGAUGAUACUUUACGGACAUUUCACAUGUUAAACUAAUCUAGUUUAACUAUAAAAGGCAAAGAUUAUUGUUUGAGUCGUCUCAUAUAAAUGUUAUAUGCUUAAACGAUAAAGUCCAAGGAAUAUGUGAUUGGGAGAAUGUAAUCUAAUGAAGUUAGAUUCAUGAGACCAUUCUUUUGUAGACACAUCCUAAAUGUUCCUGAUCAUAGGAUUGCCAAUUGGGCAUUGACGGUCGGUCAAGAUCGGUACGUGCUAUGUCUUCUCUCAGGGAGAGUGACUAGUCUCGAGUCAUUGGUGUGUGU